rnacentral:piRNA from 1 species
UAGGGUACCUGGCAUGUAGUUGCUCAAU